rnacentral:lncRNA from 1 species
CAAAAAUUUAUUAAUUACUUAAUUUUAUUUUAUUUAUUUUAUUUUCUCCUUAUUUGGACAUAACUUUGAAUAUCCAUUUAUUAAAAUUUCUAGUUAAUAAUUUUGAUUUGUUGGAUUGGUACAACUGGACGAAGCUUUGUCGGUUGGCCAGCCAGGGAUUUCUUUUUUUUCUUGUUCUAAAAGGCCUAGCUGUGGCAUCUCAAAAUGUAGCAUGUAAUUUGAAUAAUGAAAUAUCUAAAUUUUACUACAAAAUUUUUCUUUUAAAUUAUGCUAAAGUAGCAUAAAUGUAAAUCUACAAUGCCUGAUUGAAUUUUAUAUUUGAAUAACCCCAGUUGGGUUUUUUUUUAUUUUACCAUUAAUUUUGAAUGACCGGACAAAUAUAAUACCAGGAUAAAUACAGGAUGAAGGAGACUAAACAUUUUCCAUAAACUCAAGCAAAUUCAACCAAAUUUUGGAAUUCAAGUACAGUAUGAAAGUUAAAUUUCCAUUUACAAUUCGAAGUGGGGUAAGCAGAACACUUGUUUUACAAUUCGGCUUCUAAUUCAACCAAGUCCAUCGAAUUUUAUGAGUUUCAAACUUCGAUAAUCGUCGCUUAUCUACGAUUCCACAUUACACUGAAGCUUCAGUUGUAGGCCUACCGGG